CUUGGCAGCUAUCGAGGUAGAGGUACACCUGUUCCCAUCCCGAACACAGAAGUUAAGUCUUCCAUCGCCGAUGAUACUGCGGCUCGACCGUGGCAAAGUAGGUCGCUGCCAAGA
rnacentral:rRNA from 1 species